CAGAGCUCGGGAUGAGAACUGCUCUAAGAAAGGCGCGUCCCGCACCCUCCAAACCCUAUUCUGAAAGCCCGGAGAGGUGCGGGCUCCAAAGAUGUGGAGAGCAAAAUAUGUAAAGGAGUGAUUCCGCUCACCAGUCACACAGUGGGGCGGGACAGCCCCAUCUCGCAGUUUCUCAUUAUUCAACACGGAACCUAACGCGCUGCAAUAGACGCGUGCGCAAGACUGUUUGGGGGCGUUUUGGCGCUUAAUCUGGGGCAGGCGGAACCUUAGUCCUCAUCCCUGAGUUUCCCGCGACUCUGCUCUCACCGCUACACCACCACACGGACGACCUCCUUCCCCCACCCCCGGGGAUUCAUCCCGGUGGCGGGCUCCGGAGUUCGAGACUGCUAAUUUCAGCGAAACGAUUAACGCCCCAACGGCUGACGGCACUGCCUCUCCUCCGGUAGGGAAGGGCAUGCAGCGUAUAGUCACCCACGCUUCCCCGCCGGCGCAGAGCAGGCCCCACUGAGGCGCGCGCCGCCGGCACGCACGCCGCCCCGCCCCCUCGGCCCGUCGCCACCCGCGCGUAGCGCUCGCCUGCAUCCCCCGCCCUCGACCCCCGUGCUGUUGGAGGGGCCCGAGGUGAGCCAGAUACCGCUGUUGUCCGGAGGGAAGCCAGAGAAGACCGAGUCGAUUGGGCGGAGCGGCAGAGGGUCGGAGACUGCCCUAAACGCCCAGGAGUAGAAGUGGACAGGGGGCAGGGGGCAGGGUUACGUGAGGGAGCGCGCAGCAACUGAGCUUGGGUCCGACUGGAGCUCGGGGUCGGGACCCAGACUGGUGGGCCAGGUCUCCAAGCCGGCCUUAGCCCGAGUCGAGGAGGAGAGACCGGACACAGAGGGACGGAGCGAGCAAGGAGACAUGGCUUCAUCAUUCCUGCCCGCGGGGGCCACUACCGGCGAUAGCGGUGGAGAGCUGAGCUCAAGGGACGACUCCGGGGAGGUGGAGUUCCCCCAUAGCCCUGAGACCGAGGAGUCCAGUUGCCUGGCCGAGCUGUUUGAGAAGGCUGCCGCACACCUGCAAGGCCUGAUUCAUGUGGCCAGCAGGGAGCAGCUCUUGUACCUGUAUGCCAGGUACAAACAGGUCAAAGUUGGAAAUUGCAAUACUCCUAAACCAAGCUUCUUUGAUUUUGAAGGAAAGCAAAAAUGGGAAGCAUGGAAAGCACUUGGUGAUUCAAGCCCCAGCCAAGCAAUGCAGGAAUAUAUCGCAGUAGUUAGAAAACUAGAUCCAGGUUGGAAUCCUCAGGUACCAGAGAAGAAAGGAAAAGAAAUAAAUACUGGCUUUGGUGGGCCGGUUAUUAGUUCUCUAUAUCAUGAAGAAACCAUCAGGGAAGAAGACAAAAAUAUAUUUGAUUACUGCAGGGAAAACAACAUUGACCAUAUAACCAAAGCCAUCAAAUCCAAAAAUGUGGAUGUGAAUGUGAAAGAUGAAGAGGGUAGGGCUCUGCUUCAUUGGGCCUGUGAUCGAGGACAUAAGGAUCUAGUCACAGUCUUGCUACAACAUAGAGCUGACAUUAACUGUCAGGAUAACGAAGGCCAAACAGCUCUACAUUAUGCCUCUGCAUGUGAGUUUCUGGAUAUUGUAGAGCUGCUGCUCCAGUCUGGUGCUGACCCCACUCUCCGAGACCAGGAUGGCUGCCUGCCGGAGGAGGUGACAGGCUGUAAAACAGUUUCUUUGGUGCUGCAGCGGCACACAACUGGCAAGCCUUAAUCAAAAGACUGGAAAACCGCAGUCUGUAAUAGCAUAAGGCUUCCAUUAUGAAAGAAAACUACAAAAAUAAUACUUCUUUUAUCGUCCAUCUUUGUUGCUUCACCAGAGAGAUGCUGGAUUAAAGUAUGGUGAUUAUCAGACUCAAGAAAAAGUAUGCUUCCUUCCGAUGGUCGUCAGCUAGUGUUUAUUAUGUACCAAGUGUGGUCACUUUUUCAAUAUGCAUUAAUUGGCAUUAUACUAGAAGACUGAACAGGUAAAGCUAUUUAACCGAAUAUUCACUUGUCCUUGAAAUACUCCUGUCAUGAUCUUUGUAUGGAUCACUUCACAUGAAUCACGCAUAGUUAUUGGGAAUUCACAGCUUAUUUCUUAGUUCAGGGAGACUGUUCCUUACCCGAAAUGCUUGGGACCAGAAAUGUUUCAGAUUUCUGAUUUUUAAAAAAAACUUGGAAUAUUUGCAUUAUAUACAUACCAGUUGAACAUCCCUAAUCUAAAAAGCCAAAAUCCAAAAUGCUUCAAUGUGAAUUUCCUUUGACAUGUAAGCACUGAAAAAGUUUUGGGUUUUGGAGCAUUUGCUAUUUUGAUUUUCAGAUUAGGGAUACUCGGCCUGUAUUUUUCUUUUAUACUUGAAUUCUUCAAAAUUUUCUUUCCUGUUUUUUGUUGUGUCACUUUUUCUUAGCAAAAUUACAAAACAUCAUUUCACAUUUUCACCGUCUUACGGGAUGCAUGUACUGGAAUCACUUCCGGGGGCACUAUUCCUUCCUUUGUAUUCCUAAUUCUAAAAACCAGGUCGGGGUGUUCACAAAUUACAGACUGAUUUGUUUGCAGGACAGAAUCUUUCUUGCUGAUUUUAUUCCUAAACAAUAAAACUCUGAAGUUAAAAACCAGGUGAGAAAACAUGGGAGGAGCUGCCCCACAACAGGCACUUGUCUCGUGCUGGAGCUCUAGGCACUCAGCGUGGCUUUCUCUCAGGGGUGGGAAAUGAUCUCGUGCUGGAGCUCUAGGCACUCAGCGUGGCUUUCUCUCAGGGGUGGGAAAUGAUCUCGUGCUGGAGCUCUAGGCACUCAGCGUGGCUUUCUCUCAGGGGUGGGAAAGUGACCAUUUGAACCUAAUGCUACUGGAUGCUACUGGCUGAACAUGUGGGACCAUGAGGGCAUUAAGGAGUCAAGAGGUGACUUCCAAUGGACUGUGCUAGGCAGCAGCCACAAAUUCAUCAUCGGCACUACAGGUAGGAUUUAUUUUUCCUCUCACUUGUGUAGCAAUCCCAGUUUCCAUUUUAAUAUUUAGAAGGUAAGUUCAAUUGAUGGACACUUUGUAUAAUAAAAGUCUCUUUUAAAGUGCGUGCUCAUGCACACACUCAAGAUAGAAAGUGGCACUCCCAGUGCCCAUGGCUUUCAUGGAGUACAUUUGUGGAGCCCAAAGCUUAGUCCUGGAUAUGUUUAUGGCACUUUAGCUCCGUUUGUGAGUUUGGAACCCUUCCAAAAAAAAAAAAACAAAAAGACAUAUAUUAUUGUUUAUAAUCUGCUUUAUUCCGCCAAACCUUGACUGAACAGACUUGUGGAUUGCUCUUUAAAUCCCUCAGUGCCUUUAACUACCGAUACAGAAAGUGGUUAAUGCGCAUUCUAAAUGAAGCUUGGCAGCCACUCCAGGAAAUCACUUUAAUUGAGGAGCAUUAAAUGUUAAAAUGAUUUUUUUUUAAGCCAGCACACACAUACUGAGUAUAGAAGUUCUGGCCCACCAGUAAUAAUAGUUUCUUGGUUAUCAUAUCCCUCCAGCUUUGCAGUUGACAGGUGUCGAAAAAGUGACUUUCAGUUCCCUGGGUCACUAUCUGCAGACAGCUGGCCAGUGAGGAGGCAACCUUCAAGGAUUCCACUUCAGAGGAGGGGGAAGGGGCUAUCAGCUUUAUGGAUGUUUGUUUUCUGAAAUAAUAAACUAGUCCCAGGUGACUAAAAUAUGAGAUUUAACCCCAAAGUCCUCGCCUGGGCUCUCCAUUGCUGUGCAGAAGCCAUCUGUUGAAAUCUAUUUACCAUUUUAAAGAUCUCUCUUUUAUUUCCAACUCCAAGUGUGUGCCAAGACCACUUUUCAGGGUCUAUAUUUUAUCUUUCAGAAAGCCGUUUCCAGCCUUUCCCAAAUCCCCAACCCCUGCCAACCAACAGGAGAUCCUGGUCUAGGACUGGCAAGCAAGAGAAAGAUAAAUUGCUACAUUUUUUUUAAAGGCCUCUCCUACAACUCUAGAGGUACUUCGGCCUCUGUGAACCAGCUGAGUAGAAUCCUGGGCCCAAGGAGAAAGGAUAGGAAAGCAAUGGAACGCUGACUGUGGAGCCUCCAUGUGUUCUCCUGACUAAACUUAGGGUCUGCACACUGAUAAAGCCUCCUGCCGAGGAAAAAACCUAAAAGGAGAUUUUCCUAGAAAAUGUUUGUCCAGAAGCCCUGAUGACUCUGAUGAAGUGUUUUUGUUCCUCUGUGGUGACUUCAACAGCCCAGAUGAGAUUAAGUGGCUUUCCACAUCCUGCCGAGAAGCCUAGAAGGAACAAUAAUAGCUGACAUGUGUUAGCACCUACCAUGUGCUGGUGUUGACCAAGGACUUUCUAUGCAUUCAGUCCUCACCAUCGGCAGGGCUCGCCCUGGCUUCAAUGUUCUUGCUGAGUGCGUGACUUGGGCCAGUAACGCACCUCCCCUAGGAAACCCAGGGUGCAACACUGCCUGCCCUGGUCUUGGCAGGCACUAGACUAGUGAAGCAGCUAUGUGCCCAGGACACGCGUGCACACAGUGAGGGGGAUGCGCCCCGCACCUUCCCUUCUUGGGCUGUUUUCUUCUCUUGAGUGGCCACUCAUCCUGGAACUGCUGUGGCCCAACUCCCUCCCUGAAGCCCUGGACCGGAAGGGAUUCUGGAGCCCCUGCUGCAGAGACUACCCUGCUCAGAGAGUCAUUCCAAAAGACAAAGGGAAACCUCCCAAACUCCUUCCUUUUCAUUCUGAGGAGUCAGUCCCUCCUGUGCAUAUGGUAAGAGUCUAGACAGGAGUGUCUGGUGCAGCUUUGAAUUAUGCAAAUGGGAACUCGUGCACAUAGUCAUUAUAUGGAAAAUGUGAACUAAUGCAAUCACCAAAAAUGUUUUCAUUCCUUGAGAAUCACUUAAUUUCAAAAUAGCUUGGCCUGGGGAAUUAUAAAUUUUUUGCCACAGCCAGAUGACAGCGCCACUGGGAUAUACCCAUCAUCCUGGGUGGUGGCCUGUUGGUUCUGCACUGCUACUCACACGCACGGGACUAGCUUCUUGCAAUGAUGGGGACUAAUAUGCUCUUAUUUUAACAUUCACUGUUAUUAUAAUUUAAAAUCUUUUUUAUAUCCUAUAACAAUGUCAUCCAAGUAUUCAUUAAGUAGCACUGGCAGUGCUCGUGCUGAAAAAUGUACCCAAAAAUCAAUAACUUUGGUGCGGAAGUUAAAUGUGAUAAAACGCUUUGAGGAAGGCCAAGCGAGACCAUGCUACCUGGGGCUGUUAACUUAGGAGAGAGCAUUGUGCAAGGUAUUCAAGAUAAUGCUGAGAAAAUAAAAAGAUACACUUCACUGGUUAUGGAUUUAUGUGCUCUCAGAAUAUACCAGCCCCCACACACACUCUACAUUAAUUCCUAUGGGAAAAUCAGUCUUAAAAUAUGUUAGUUUUGAAUGAUGCAGGGUCUCCUAGAACUUGUCCCUGGCAUAAAACACAACCUUAUUAUAUUGAAAAUGCAAAUAGUCAGGGAGACGGAACAAGUGAACAAAAUCAUUCACACUAAGGUGCAACUACCUGCCAUGAGAUCCUUUGUUUAGCUAAUGGGCGGGAACUAUGAGCCUGAAAGAGGGUGGGAAUAAAAACAACCUGAAAACACAGCCACACAUUCUGCAGUGGACAGGUCCCCUGCUGCUCCAGGGGCCACUGAUUGCCCAAGACCAAGAGCCCUGCCUUGCUGACGGUGGUGGAGGGGUCGAGGGAAGGACCUGGGGAAUAGGCCAGAGACACUGUGUAACCAUCUGCUUUAAAACCUCAAGCACACCUUGCUUUCCCGUUUGUUUGCACUUCUCCCACGUUGGUCUCCCAUUUCACAAGCCUCAUCCUAUAUAAAACUCAGGAAACAGCCCUAUGUGGCAGAUGCUAUGAUUCCCCCAUAGAGCUGAGAAGCUGAGGCUCAGCCAGUUCUACAGCUUGCCAGACCUUCCUGUGGAGGGGGAUGCCGAGCUGGCUUGUGACAGCAAGUCCAGCCUCUUCCCAUCGUCCUACAGAGGGCUGCUAUGGUGCAAAUAAUCCUCGAUAAAAGUAUGAGCCCCACAAUGUCAUUCCCACGUCCCCAGCCAGAUUCUGACCAAUCUACAUUUUUCUCUGUCAUCUCUUGAACCACCCACAUCAUCAGAAGAUGCUGAUUUGAGAGUGUGCAGAGUCCAAAUGAGGCCUAUGAUGGGGAGAACCAGCUGCAGGCCAGGGGGGGUCAUGCCAUCUUAGUAUCUCUAGCGAAUGGCACCAGACUUCCAAAGGUGUCUUGGUAUCUCAGUCCAUCUGCUGUGGUGGUUCAUCCCUGACAAACUACCCUAAUCUUCCAUGACAUCACAGCUGACUCCAAGGCACUAGCAUGGAGUGAGUUUUAAGACACCAGAGCAGAUUAGUACAUUCAGGCAAACAGCCUUGGGAUGGGUCUGCAGAGGCCCCAGGUCUCUGGAGGAAGGAGGUCAAAGGCCUCUGUCCACCCUGAAAGCCCAGAGCUGAAGGGGCAGGGGUAGGGGAGGUCCUCAAAGAGUCAGGAAGCUCUACACCCUCCUGCCAUGGACAGAAGCCAAGCCCAGCUCCAGCUGGCUCACCUAAAGGGCCCUUAUGAGUCCCCUCUGCUUCCUCAUCACAGCCCCCUUAGAUUUUAUACUGUGUUCAUUGAACAAAAAACUAAUUUCUCCAUGUAUUGGAUCAGAUCUGUAUAACACACGUGUAUGGGUUCAGAAAAGAUCUAGGAAGAGAUACAUGAAAUUGUUGCUGAUUUUUUUUCUCUCAUCAAGCCCAGAGCUACCAACAAGAGCCAUUUUGCAUAGUAACACCCUGAGUUGAUCAAAAUUCUAGUCAAAGGCAAAGGACCUUGAUGUUUUGUGUGUUCGUGCGUCUGAGAUUAUCAGGUUAGGUUUGGCCAAAUCCAAAUUCAGAGCCGGGGCCUGACCCCCCGGACCCGUGGGCACAGCUGGGAGUGAGAAGACAGAGGUAGGGCUGCAGGAGUAAAUGUCGAGGUUGGCCUUGUGAGGGGAGCAUGGGGAAUGUGUCAGUCUGGGCCCUAUCCUGGAAAGCCCCCGGGCUGCCCAAAAGCAUGGUGUGCAGGGUGAGAGCCGCUGCUGCUGGGCCAAGCUAGGCCUUUCCAGGUCUGGCUGCUAAAUGUGGGGCCUGACUUCAGCCACCACCGUGCAGAGCUCCUGCUGCCACCACGGACAGGGGCCCUGGAACGGUUGUGGUGAAGGGGGUGGGGGGAGCUAUGCUGCUGAGAUGGAGCCUCCCUGAAUCUGGCUUGUGUCCUUCCCCUUCACCUAGCAGACGCACUGGGCACUUGCAGAAACACCAGGAACCCCUGCCCUGGAAGAGCCCAGUCUGAGAAGGGAAUGGAAUACAAUCUGCUGAAAUCCCAGAUGUGUGAGGGAUGCAGAAGCCAGUGCUAGGCUCUCACCAAGGCCCUUUGAGGCAGGGGGCUGCUGAGAGGGUCCAUGUACACCCUCAUAUGCAGAACUAAGCAGCAGCCUCACCUGUUCACUGCAGACCAAGCUCCCAGUUGUCCCUCAGCACCCCAGCUCUGGCCCAGGGAAGGGGGCCGCCAUGAUGGUGAUAACCAGGUCCUUGACUACUUCUGAGCCCACCAUGGAAACAGGCAGGCUCUCAGAACCACCACUUGAUGAACACUUCCAUGAAGCCAGCGAGCACUAAUGGCCCGGGAGGUGUUCAGCAUUUGCUCAGAGGCGGCAGUGCAAGAGUAGGACUCCGAGGGCUGAGCAGGUGGGACACCACGAGAAGGGCACCUCAGGCAGAGGCCACGGCCCAAACAAAGGCCUGGAGGGGGAUCACUGGGGCCAUGCUGCUUACCGUUCUG